UUUAUUUCAUAGGCUUUUUAGAAGGUCCAUUGGGCUUUGGAUUUGACGACGGAAUCAUUAUUUUUAUAACAUUUAUUUCUUCUUCUUUUUCGGUUAAAUGUUAAAUAUUAUACCAAGUUGUGACAGAAAUUACAAAGAAAACUACGGAAAUUAAACUAAACAUCAAAACUUAAUACAGAAAAAAAAGAUUCAACUGGCAACGGGAAUUCAAACUUUGAUUACAAACAUGAUUUGAACAAAAUGAUCUACAUCUGACUAAACAUCUUUAGCUUUGCUCGACCACCUCUAAACCGGCGCAUUCCGCUAAAUAGUUCAGUUAUCCUUGGACUAUCAAUCCCCGUUCUCAACCGUUGAUAGAAAGCAUUCGAGGGUGGCGUUCACCAAGUUUCCUUGGUUGCCGGUUCAUCUUAUGCCAUCAACAGAUUAGCUGGAUCUUGAUGAUCUCCUCACGCUCGCAAUCUCAGCUGACACUAAGCGCAUAGUUGAGUGAAUAGACCCGAGAGUUCAUACCUGAAAAAACCGGACUGGACGCCAUGGCGUGAGCACUCAACACCUAACAAGACCGGUUGAACUAUAGCUGCCUUUUCUCGUCGAAGCGGUACCUGUACCUGCAGUAAGAAGAAAGAAGGCAUACUACCGAAGCUUGCAAGGACAAAUUCCGAUAAUGGGAAGAACAACACUCCAAGUGCGUCGCCACGGACAGAGAUGAAGACUCCGGAGACUCACGAAGCACCACUAAUGUCCUCGCACUCCACCUCUUAGAACAAGAGGGAGGUUCUUCACUCAAAACCGUAGCCAACGGUGCGACGUUGGCCACACUAACCAUGAAGAACAAUACCCAAGAGCUCUUCACCUAGGGCGUGCACUCCCAGAGAAGAGAAACCACCAAACAAGGCCAUGAACUGAAAGGCGAAGACCGGAGCAAAGUACCAAGAAGUGACGCCAAAGCGCAGACAACUCCACGCGCCACCAAGCCUGCUACUUUACACGCACCGUCGGAUACUUCAAACGACACUGCCGGAGGAAGCGAGACCGACGCACGCCUUGAAGGUAAACUACCGUCAAAGUCCGAACUGAGCGGAGUAGAAAGACUCCUCCUGCACCGAGACACCAAGGCGGAGGAGACAGAGCCGACACCACCGCACCACACAGACAAUGAUCCGAACAGAUCUGUGUCAAGGGAGCCGAUUCAGAGAAGCACGCGCCAGCAAGCUCCGGCUAGAUCCAGAUCGAGCAAAGAGGAAAAACGUCAAUCUGAAUCAAACCACCGUAAAAGCCGACCUCGCCACAUCCUGACCACCUUAGCCUCACCGCCACUCCGGAGGAAGCCGACCACCUGACAGAGCCAUCACCAGCGUCCCGGAUCUGAAGAUCUGAUGGUGGAUCGACUCUUAGAGUCUUAGCAUAUCGGACAAAGAGAUUUGAGGAGCUUAAGAGGCAAAAAAAAACGAGAUAAGGGGGAGAGGGGCCACCGGCAACGGCUCUGACACCGCUACCGGAGGAAAACAGAGUUGCCGGUCAGUUUUGGUUGAGAGAGAAAGGGCGAGUUUUGUUUUAGUUAAAAUCUCUUUCAAAGAUUCCGUUUUUUCGGAAGGAAGGAAGAAGAUCGAGUGGAGCAGGAGAGAUUUUUUUAUGACAGAGAGCUAGCUAGCUCACACGGGAGAGAAAGAACAUCAGAGUUGUUGUCGGAAAGAGAUGAUCCAUUUAUUUCUUGAUCUUUGAUCCGAAGCAUCAAAUUAAAUACUGAUCAAUGAAAAAAACAGGAAGAAAAAAAACUAAAAGCAUCAACAUUAUUAUUUUUUUUAAAGGUAUCUCGCGUAUGUUUCUAAAAAAAACAUUUUUUUAACACACUUCAAUCCUUGAGAUAGAGAGAGAAAGUGGUAUUUUCAACUUUUGAUUUUCUCGGAAAAUAUGGAUCUCAUUUUCCGUUACGGAUAAUAAACUUUGUUUCAUAUCUGGCAGUUUAUCAAAGCAUUAUAUUGAACUGGAUGGUAGAAACAGAGAAAGGAGCAUGCAAGUGGUUCUUGGUGUCAAAUGGAUUGAUCAACAAACUUGUUUACAGCGGAGCCAAGGAAUUUCAAGUCGGUGUAGUCCUGGUGACAGGUGUAGUCCUGGCGACGUUUCAUCUGGUUAAUUUUCCAAAAAGCUGUUUUCUCAGAAGAUACAUUGACAAUAUGGUUUUCACCUAUUACAAAAAAAAAAAAAAAAAUUUAUUGGCAUUGUUACAAAGAGAUGCUGGUGGGCUUAUCACGUCUUUUCAAUUAUUUCGAUUAUUUCAUUUUCAAUCCCGAUGAAUUCACGUCUUUUCAAUUAUUUCAUUUUCAUUAUGAUAAAUGUUGAACAACUUUUAAAUUAUGUUUAUACACGGAUUGCAACAUAA